rfam:Brachypodium distachyon strain Bd21 chromosome 1, whole genome shotgun sequence.
GGCCAAGCCCAGCUGUUUAUCCUAUACAAUCUUCCCGAAGUAAAUUUGUCAUUUUCUGCUUGUGGUGCCUUUAGGAUUUUCUGCAAGUCUCAAGCGACAAAACAACCAU